AUUGAACGCUGGCGGCAUGCCUUACACAUGCAAGUCGAACGGCAGCACGGGGGCAACCCUGGUGGCGAGUGGCGAACGGGUGAGUAAUGCAUCGGAACGUGCCCAGUAGUGGGGGAUAACCAGUCGAAAGACUGGCUAAUACCGCAUACGACCUACGGGUGAAAGCGGGGGACCGUAAGGCCUCGCGCUAUUGGAGCGGCCGAUGUCUGAUUAGCUAGUUGGCGGGGUAAGAGCCCACCAAGGCGACGAUCAGUAGCUGGUCUGAGAGGACGACCAGCCACACUGGGACUGAGACACGGCCCAGACUCCUACGGGAGGCAGCAGUGGGGAAUUUUGGACAAUGGGCGCAAGCCUGAUCCAGCCAUGCCGCGUGCGGGAAGAAGGCCUUCGGGUUGUAAACCGCUUUUGGCAGGAACGAAACGGCGCAAGCCAAUACCUUGCGCUAAUGACGGUACCUGCAGAAUAAGCACCGGCUAACUACGUGCCAGCCGCCGCGGUAAUAC
rnacentral:rRNA from 1 species